rfam:Astyanax mexicanus chromosome 13, whole genome shotgun sequence.
AGUAAGCACUUCUGUGAGUCACUCUGGAUAAGAGUGUCUGCUAAAUGCCAGUGU